rnacentral:rRNA from 1 species
ACGGCCUACCAAGGCAGCGAUGGUUAGCUGGUCUGAGAGGAUGACCAGCCACACUGGAACUGACACACGGUUUAGACUCCUACGGGAGGCAGCAGUGAGGAAUUUUGCGCAAUGGGGGAAACCCUGACGCAGCAACGCCGCGUGAGUGAUGAAGGCUUUCGGGUCGUAAAGCUCUGUCAAGUGGGAAGAAACCGCAUGGUGCCAAUACCACCAUGUGUUGACGGUACCACUGAAGGAAGCACCGGCUAACUCCGUGCCAGCAGCCGCGGUAAUACGGGGGGUGCAAGCGUUAUUCGGAAUUACUGGGCGUAAAGAGCGCGUAGGCGGUCUUUUAAGUCAGGUGUGAAAGCCCGAGGUUUAACCUCGGAAGUGCACUUGAAACUAAAGGACUUGAGUAUGGGAGAGGGAAGUGGAAUUCCUGGUGUAGCGGUGAAAUGCGUAGAUAUCAGGAGGAACACCGGUGGCGAAGGCGACUUCCUGGACCAAUACUGACGCUGAGGCGCGAAGGCGUGGGGAGCAACAGGAUUAGAUACCCUGGUAGUCCACGCAGUAAACUGUGAACACUAGGUGUAGCGGGUAUUGACCCCUGCUGUGUCGCAGCAAACGCAUUAAGUGUUCCGCCUGGGGAGUACGGCCGCAAGGCUAAAACUCAAAGGAAUUGACGGGGGCCCGCACAAGCGGUGGAGCAUGUGGUUUAAUUCGACGCAACGCGAAGAACCUUACCUGGAUUUGAUAUUCCGGGAAUCAUUUUGAAAGAUUAGAGUGCCCUUUGGGGAGCCCGGAGACAGGUGCUGCAUGGCUGUCGUCAGCUCGUGUCGUGAGAUGUUGGGUUAAGUCCCGCAACGAGCGUAACCCCUAUCUUUAGUUAUUAUUAUUUAGUUGGGGAUUUUAAAGAUACUGCCCCGGUUAAUGGGGAGGAAGGUGGGGAUGACGUCAAGUCUUUAUGGCCUUUAUGUCCAGGGCUACACACGUGCUACAAUGGGCUGUACAAAGGGUUGUUAGCCUGUGAAGGUGAGUUAAUCCCAGAAAGCAGUUCGUAGUUCGGAUUGGAGUCUGCAACUCGACUCCAUGAAGCUGGAAUCGCUAGUAAUCGUGGAUCAGCAUGCCACGGUGAAUACGUUCCCGGGCCUUGUACACACCGCCCGUCACACCAUGAGAGUUGGUUGUACCAGAAGUCGUUGGGCAAACCUUUUGGGGAUGCAGGCGCCUAAGGUAUGGCUGAUGAUUGGGGUGAAGUCGAAAUAAGGUA